UACGUAGGGGGCAAGCGUCAUCCGGAUUUACUGGGUGUAAAGGGAGCGUAGACGGCAGUGCAAGUCUGGAGUGAAAGGCGGGGGCUCAACCCCCGGACUGCUCUGGAAACUGUACGGCUGGAGUGCAGGAGAGGUAAGUGGAAUUCCUAGUGUAGCGGUGAAAUGCGUAGAUAUUAGGAGGAACACCAGUGGCGAAGGCGGCUUACUGGACUGUAACUGACGUUGAGGCUCGAAAGCGUGGGGAGCAAACAGG
rnacentral:rRNA from 1 species